rnacentral:rRNA from 1 species
GGCUCAGGACGAACGCUGGCGGCGCGCCUAACACAUGCAAGUCGAACGAGCGAGAGAGAGCUUGCUUUCUCGAGCGAGUGGCGAACGGGUGAGUAACGCGUGAGGAACCUGCCUCAAAGAGGGGGACAACAGUUGGAAACGACUGCUAAUACCGCAUAAGCCCACGGUGCCGCAUGGCACAGAGGGAAAAGGAGCAAUCCGCUUUGAGAUGGCCUCGCGUCCGAUUAGCUAGUUGGUGAGGUAAACGGCCCACCAAGGCAACGAUCGGUAGCCGGACUGAGAGGUUGAACGGCCACAUUGGGACUGAGACACGGCCCAGACUCCUACGGGAGGCAGCAGUGGGGAAUAUUGCACAAUGGGGGAAACCCUGAUGCAGCGACGCCGCGUGGAGGAAGAAGGUCUUCGGAUUGUAAACUCCUGUUGUUGGGGAAGAUAAUGACGGUACCCAACAAGGAAGUGACGGCUAACUACGUG